rnacentral:rRNA from 1 species
AGUUGUAAUCUCUAGAAAUGUUUUCCGCGUUGGACCGCACACAAGUCUGUUGGAAUACAGCGGCAUAGUGGUGAGACCCCCGUAUAUGGUGCGGACGCCCAGCGCUUUGUGAUACAUUUUCGAAGAGUCGAGUUGUUUGGGAAUGCAGCUCAAAUUGGGUGGUAAAUUCCAUCUAAAGCUAAAUAUUGGCGAGAGACCGAUAGCGAACAAGUACCGUGAGGGAAAGAUGAAAAGCACUUUGGAAAGAGAGUUAACAGUACGUGAAAUUGUUGGAAGGGAAACGCUUGAAGUCAGACUUGCUUGCCGAGCAAUCGGUUUGCAGGCCAGCAUCAGUUUUCCGGGAUGGAUAAUGGUAGAGAGAAGGUAGCAGUUUCGGCUGUGUUAUAGCUCUCUGCUGGAUACAUCUUG